rnacentral:lncRNA from 1 species
AUAAAUUCCACAAGAAAUCUAUUUUUUCCUCUUCAUAUUAGCUUCAUAAUAGUUCAUCAUUUAUAUACACAAAAACACAAAAAAGAAAUACAUACAGAAAUGAAAAACAACAAAAAAAAGAUUCACUAUUUCAUUAAUUUUGGAUAGAUUCUGGAUUUUUCUUUAGGAUUCUGCCUUACAACUUGGUUUGGGGUUUAUUUUGAGUUGAUAUGGGUUUGUUCUUGCUGGGGUCGUGGUUUUUCUGUUGUUUUUUCUUUUCAAUUUUCUAGGGUUUCAAAAGGAGUUUUGCGGUUUUAAAAGUAUUCAUGUGGGUUAUUACUGGGUAUUAGCUAUUUGUACCUGAUUAUUUGGAUGUGUUGAAUUAAUUCCAAUCGUUGAAUUCACUUUGGCUUGCUGUUGUUGCAUUGAUUUGCUGACCUUUUCCUCCAUUCUCUUAUUUUUCUCCCAUUUCCAGGUAUACUCUUGAAUCUUCCUGAUGUAGCCUUGAGUUGAAGUGAACUGGCAGUUGGAUUCGAACUUAGACAAUUUGUGUUAUCAUGUGGAAAUUGUCAAUUGAAAUAAAUGCUUAAGUUCUUGUGAUUGUGUAUUAGUACUGUUUAUUCGUC